rnacentral:pre_miRNA from 1 species
UAGAUACUCCCUCUGUCUAAUAAAAAAUGUCUCAAAUUUGUUAAAAUUUGGAUAUAUCUAGACAUGACUUAAAAUUCGGUGUAUAGACGCAUUUAAAUUUGGUUAAAGUUGAGACAUUUUUUGUUGGACGGAGAGAGUAUGUG